rnacentral:rRNA from 1 species
CCUACGGGAGGCAGCAGUGGGGAAUAUUGCGCAAUGGGCGAAAGCCUGACGCAGCGACGCCGCGUGAGGGAUGAAGGUCUUCGGAUCGUAAACCUCUGUCAGCAGGGAAGAACGGUCACUGUGCUAAUCAGCAGUGAAUUGACUGUACCUGCAAAGGACGCACCGGCUAACUCCGUGCCAGCAGCCGCGGUGAUACGGAGGGUGCGAGCGUUAAUCGGAAUUACUGGGCGUAAAGCGCUCGUAGGCGGUAUGUCAAGUCAAGGGUGAAAUCCCCGCGCUCAACGUGGGAACUGCCUUUGAAACUGGCAAACUGGAGUGUGUGUGAGGAUAGCGGAAUUCGUGGUGUAGGAGUGAAAGCCGUAGAUAUCUGGAAGAACCUCAGUGGCGAAGGCGACUAUCUGGCACAUAACUGACGCUGAGGAGCGAAAGCGUGGGUAGCAAACAGGAUUAGAUACCCUUGUAGUC